rnacentral:ncRNA from 2 species
GCCCUGCAUCCAGAGUUGGUACCAAACGGUACAAACGCCAACCUGCCUCCCCGGGCAAGGUGGUUGCCUCAAGGCGAUGCGGCCGAUAGUCGGCAACGAAGCGGGAGCGG